rnacentral:lncRNA from 1 species
UAUUAUAUUAACGAUUGUUUUCUAUAAUAUUUAAAUCACUUGGUUAAAUCCGUAAAACGUGUUUAAACAAUUUUGACCUACUAUAGUCACCAAAAAUUACUAUGGCAAAGGAAGAACAGAAAGUUGAAGCAAAUCAGAGAGACGACAAUAAUUAACGCUAAGAUGAGACGAACGGUCUCCCGAUGGCAUCAGAGAGAAGUGAAAUCAGAUAGACGAACGGUCCCCCGAUGGCAACAUAGCCAAAUAUUCAAGAAACGGUAACUAACCCCAAAAAUACUUUGGCUAUGUUUUUUUUUCAUUUUUUCGAAUAAAACUUAUAUAAAAAAGAAAUAAUAAAGGGCAAUUCUCUCAAAUAGUUAUUUUUAAGUAUUUGUCACAAAAAUUGCCUUCAAAAAAAAAAAAGAACAAAAUAGCCUUUUUUUAUUUUGAAAUUUUUAGUAUUUAUUUUUUAUUUUAAAAAUUUGAAACAAUAUCUC